GCAGCCGAGUCUGACGGCGCCGGUUCGCUGCCCGGUCCGCCCGCGAUCUUGUUAGAGACCUUGUCAUCACAGUAAUCAGUGUCAUUGCAUACGAAGACCCUCCUGACAAGUGCAUUUCCAAAUUCAGUAUCUGCAGAAAGCUACUCUGCAGAUGAAUUUGUCAGAUCAAGAGAAUUUUAUGAGCAAGGAUGCUUUUCUUUUUUGCUUUGGCUGCCAAGAAACUCAACUAAAUCUACUGCCCAACUGCCAUAAUGAAUUUGGUUGAUUCCACCGUCUCGUAGUUGCUCUAGAUCCAUAUUGACUGAGUAUAAAUCUAUGUCUGGACAGCAACGCAAACACACUGACAUUGGAUUUAGACACACACAUCUAAAAGGACAUUGAAAUUUCCUGUGACUUGACAUGGACUGUUGGACCAACUAUUAGACCAACUAUUGCUUAGUAGUCUGAAACAGCCAAAAAUCUCUUUUUGGCUCAGAUAGGGUGUCAUCAAAAGACAUGUAAACAUGACCUCAUGGUAGAAGUGAACUGCUUCAAGCUAGUAAUGUGCGUCUUGCAGGUAUCCAGUAUUGCUGUGUUUCCCUCAAAAAAUUGAUCUAUGCUGUGGUGUCCCUAUAACUUUGCUUAGGUGUUCUGGGGGUGCCCUGGUGCCAGUUUGGGAACCACAACUCUAGGUUAAAAACAUU
rnacentral:lncRNA from 10 species